rnacentral:lncRNA from 1 species
CCAAGCCGGGCGACACCGGUUCCCACGAGGCGCGCGUCGCGCGCGGGACGCGGGGCCCUGGCGGGGCGGCCGCACCUACCCGACACCUGCGGGUCCCUCCGCCUCCCCCGGUGCCGGGCGCAGAGCGGCGCCUCAAUUUGGGUAACAUUUAUGAGAAACAGGACUAAAAGAAUACUGCACACUUAAGUAAGGUAUUAAGGCUAUGGGGUCUCCUUUUGGGGUGAGGUAAUGCUCUGCAACCGGACAGUGGUGACGGCCGCCCGACAUGGCCGGUGUGCUAAUCUACUGGGUUGUGCACUUUAUUUAUUUUUUUUUUUGAGACGGAGGCUCACUCUGUCGCCCAGGCUGGAGUUCAGUGGCGCGAUCUCGACUCACUGCAACCUCCGCCUCCCGGGUUCAAGCGAUUCUCCUGCCUCAGCCUCCCGAGUAGCUGGGACUACAGGCGCCCGCCAUCACGCCCGGCUAAUGUUUGUAUUUUUGAUAGAGACGAGGUUUCACCAUGUUGGCCAGGCUGGUCUUGAACUCCCGACCUCAAGUGAAAACACAACCUAUGGCCUCCAGACACUCAAAUGAAAACAGUGGCCUUGGCGGCCAAAACAGGGGCUGCCCUAGGAGUCCUGUGGGCUGCAUGGGGGAGGCGGCACUGUCAUCUGCCCAGGAGAACGGGAGCUGCAGCAGGUUCUCUCUGGCGGUGCACGGGCUAGCACUGGACACACCACCCCCUCUCCAUCCAGCCUUUGGUGAAAUGGAGACCUUUCACCCCGCUUUGCAGAGAAGGAAACGUUCACGGAGUUGGAAUUCCCCUCCGCCCCAAACCCACAUUCCUGGGACAGCAAGGCCUUGAGAUGGAACUCAGGAAGCCAUCGGAUUCCAUCAACGUCAUCACCCCUGAGUUUGCUGCAAGCAGCCAUGGAAACGUCCCAAGUCCGCACCUGCAGGCUCAGUGAGGUUGCUCAAGCCCAGGAACUAACUGAGCUCUCAAACACGUUUGCAUGUCAGCCCUGUGCUGCAGCCUCCGAGGGAAGCUGGUUUCACUCUCA